AUUGAACGCUGGCGGCAGGCCUAACACAUGCAAGUCGAACGAGCGGCGGACGGGUGAGUAAUGUCUGGGAAACUGCCUGAUGGAGGGGGAUAACUACUGGAAACGGUAGCUAAUACCGCAUACCAUCAGAUGUGCCCAGAUGGGAGUAGCUAGUUGGUUGGGUAAUGGCUCACCUAGGCGACGAUCCAUAGCUGGUCUGAGAGGAUGACCAGCCACACUGGAACUGAGACACGGUCCAGACUCCGACGGGAGGCAGCAGUGGGGAAUAUUGCACAAUGGGCGAAAGCCUGAUGCAGCCAGGCCGCGUGUAUGAAGAAGGCCUUCGGGUGGUAAAGUACUGUCAGCGAGGAGGCGUUACUCGCAGAAGAAGCACCGGCUAACUCCGUGCCAGCAGCCGCGGUAAUUC
rnacentral:rRNA from 1 species